UACAGAGGCCCCAAGCGUUACUGAGAAUCACUGGGUUUAAAGGGUGCGUAGGUGGUCCGUUAAGUCAGUUGUGAAAUCCCCGGGCUCAACCCGGGAACUGCUUCUGAUACUGGCGGACUUGAGGCCGGUAGGGGUCACUGGAACAGACGGUGGAGCGGUGAAAUGCGUAGAUAUCGUCUGGAACGCCGGUGGUGAAGACGGGUGACUGGGCCGGUUCUGACACUGAGGCACGAAAGCGUGGGGAGCAAACGGG
rnacentral:rRNA from 1 species